UUUGUUCUUCCCUAUGAUAAUAGUUGCAGAUCUUAGCAGUGUGUUACUCAGUCCCAUUUGUCCAUCCCUUUCUGUAGUUAUCCACAUAUUAGCAAAUCCAUCAAUGUUCUGCCUGAUGUGUUGCUAACUCAAGGGUGCAAAACCCCCCAUUUCAUAGGAACUGCUGAACUGGACACCCCCGAUAGGAUGAGUAUGAGGCAUGAAUAGCUCUCAAUUUAUUCUUCUUGAUCACUUACAGGGCUUACAGUUCACUUUAUUAUCAUUAUAAAUGGGUUUGUGUAAAAACCUCUGUGUAUUGCUCUUUUGGCCUUUUGACAGAAGGCAGGUUAAUUGAAGGAGCUCAAUCUCUACACCUGCCAUUGACCUGUGGAAUGAUGGAGGUCAAAGGACAUGGCCUCUUAGCUUCUGACAUCACAGUGUGUCCUCAGCAUGACAACAGCCAGCCAGGUCGUCCUUCCAUCCCGUCUGCUUUUCGGGUGUCAUAGCAAUUGCCUUCCACAGCAUUGGAAAAGAAAACUGAACCCUAACUGCCUGAAAAAGUGAUGCCUUUGUUCCCCAUAUUGUGACCAAUUAUUUUCACAAAAUAAAUGGUUCCGGAAGGGCACGAUACAUUGAAGAAUCAGACUUGUGUGUUAGUCUUGUGUUUGUUUGGUUUUUUUGAAAUUGCUUCAUCAGAAAUGAGCAAGUAGGCUUGAGGAGAGACGCACCAUAAGCUUUAAACACUGACACUAAGUAGACUGAAACCCUGCCCUUAACUCCAAAUCAGAGUAAAACGAGUAAGUCUCAAGGGAAUGGUAUUUACUCCUCAGUCAGUGGUAGGCAGAUUAGAAGAUAGGAAUUGAGGGAGAAUGGGAGCUAAUCAAUGGAAUUUUAUUAUCUUUGGAGGAGUUGGAGGAUACUGUUAAUUAUUUUUUGCUUUAGGCUAAGAAAACUGUAAUUGGGACCGGUGUGUAUUAAAACGUAAAGUUAGAAAAGCGGUUGAGAAAUCAGAAUGUGUUCUAUCUACGCAUUUUAUUAAACCCCACAUUUGGCUUAAACAUUCUUAAGGCUUUGGGUUCUUCCUUUGAAAGUUUAAAAGAUGGAGUUGAUUUAGGGUUUUUAAAAAAAAAUCAGUGCAUAAAAGCUAUUAAUUAGGUCUGAGUUACUAAAUGAGCAGUCAUGGUUCAGGAGAGUGAAGCUUGGAAAUACUGAGCCUCGUUCCUCGCUCUCCUGAUUUUGGAGAGCCACGCCGUGCAGCGUCUGCAGAACCAGCCUGCUGGAAGAGUUUGGAAAAGUGAGAGUAACUGUUCACACAGAAAGGGAGA